CAGUUACGUCAUAAUUUUUCCAGAUAAUUAUUGAAUGCGAGCCUUAAAUUAAGUGUAAACUUAAUUAAUUUAGCUAUGCAACAAAUUUUUGUGUAACAGUCCUAUUUUAUUAUUUUUUUUAUUAUUGUUAAGUGCUAAAAUCCAAUGUCGAAUCUGCAUUUUCGUGCACUGCCGGAACUCGACAGGGGAAGCUAUAUACAGGCUGCAUCGGUUGCGGCGGCGACAUUACCAACCCGACAAAAAGCACCUCAAGAUUUUUUAAACAAUGUCAUUAGAUCCAGAGCACUUUCUUGCGUGGUGUAAUCAAAAUUUUUUGUAGUCUUUAUUACGAGAUUCUUGAGCGUCUUCUGAAAGCUGUCCGAUAGACACAAAAACGUUACAUCGAUAAUGUCACGCAUUUAACUGCAUACGUGCUGGCUAUCUGUUGGCAGCCUUAGGAAUGCUUGAAUGACGACACAAAGAAAAAUUCCUUCCAUCUGACUGGACUCGAACCAGGGUCAAUUGCCACUCUGCCACCGCGUUUACCAACUGAAAUACAGACCGAGUCAGCAAACUGUGUGCUUGUUGCAGAUCUUUUAUUGAGAACUCAAUAUAAUGUAGGUAUCAAUAAUAUUAACAAACCAGUGGAGUAUUUUCAUAAAAAAAGUAUAAAUAUC